rnacentral:rRNA from 1 species
GUAGGGUGCAAGCGUUAAUCGGAAUUACUGGGCGUAAAGCGUGCGCAGGCGGUUUGUAAGUCUGUCGUGAAAGCCCCGGGGGCUUAACCUGGGGAAUUGCGAUGGAGACUGCAAGGCUUGAAUCUGGCAGAGGGGGGUAGAAUUCCACGUGUAGCAGUGAAAUGCGUAGAGAUGUGGAGGAACACCGAUGGCGAAGGCAGCCCCCUGGGUCAAGAUUGACGCUCAUGCACGAAAGCGUGGGGAGCAAACAGGAUUAGAUACCCUGGUAGUCCACGCCCUAAACGAUGUCUACUAGUUGUCGGGUCUUAAUUGACUUGGUAACGCAGCUAACGCGUGAAGUAGACCGCCUGGGGAGUACGGUCGCAAGAUUA